rnacentral:rRNA from 1 species
UACGAAGGGAGCGAGCGUUGUUCGGAAUUACUGGGCGUAAAGCGCACGUAGGCGGCUUUGUAAGUUAGAGGUGAAAGCCCAGGGCUCAACCCUGGAAUUGCCUUUAAGACUGCAUCGCUAGAAUUGUGGAGAGGUAAGUGGAAUUCCGAGUGUAGAGGUGAAAUUCGUAGAUAUUCGGAAGAACACCAGUGGCGAAGGCGACUUACUGGACACAUAUUGACGCUGAGGUGCGAAAGCGUGGGGAGCAAACAGG